AUGGAGGUCCAGCCCAGUAAAACCGGGGACCGACAGUUCUUUUCAGAAAUGGACCUUGCAGUGGAGCCAGGACUUGGUAGUGAGAUGAGAGAGCCUGCAUGGACUGCGGAGUCAUUGGAGAACAUAGAUAACUUGAGGCCUGCGACUCCUACUGGCUGCGUGAAUGACAGUGAUCCUGACAUUUUAAUAAAAAGUAAGCCAACGUCUCCUGCUGUGGAGGAGGUGGAGCAACCACCGACACCAGGAAAGGGCAUCGAGGCUGAACUGUUGAGUGCAGACUCGGAUGAAGCCAGUGAGGUCCUUUCCUUUUCCCUAACAAGCAGCAGGGUUCUUCUAACCUCAGCUGAUUUCCUGGCUGCCUCGUGCCCGUUAUAUGAGGAAAAGCCUAAAACUCCUGGGAGGGAGGAGCUAAGUGUUUGGACCCAUAACAGCUAUGGUGGGCCACCAACAACACUCUGCAGAGGCACGGCUGUUUCAGAAGAAAGCACAGCGUGUUCCCCAUUCAGCAGUCCACCACAUGUUCUGCCUCCAUCAAGCAAUCCAUACAUCACACCUCCAAAGACCCCAGGAAGAGACAUUUUGUUACCCCGAAGAGACAUAUUCCACAAGAGGAAAACAACCCCCCCACAGUCUUUGUCUCACAACUUUCUCAGUGUUUCUCCCAUCACGGUGUCCUCUUCAUGCAGCCUCUCUGAGGCUUCGUCAGACUCUGCUGAUGGCAGAGGCGUGAUCGUGAGUUCAGGUGUGAGAACAAAGCCCUUACAGGGACUCGAGAACAUGCCCGGACUUUUGAAUGAGGAGAAAUCUUUACUGAGGAAAAAUACAUGGAGGCGUUUGAUUAGGCGAAAAAGGGCUCGACAUCGGCAGAGGUCACUUUUGGGAGUCAGCUGUUCCCUCUCCUGCAACGGUCGUUUCCACAAGUGGCGUCCGCAUUUUGAGGAGAAGAAAAUUCUUCAUGGUGUUUGGAAGGUGGGUCUGGAUGAAGAAGACUCCAGACUUCUGCAGUGUGUUUAUGAAAGGCUGCAAGAGCAUAGUGGUGUUGGUUGGCUCAGUCACACACACUGGGUACCUCACCCUCAUAUCCUUUUGAGCGGAGCUUCGUGUUGUGUAAACAUGCACAAGUCAAUACUUUUAUUUCAGUGAGAUUAUUUCCUGGUUAAAUAAAGUGAAUGGACUAUGGAUGUGCUUCACUUCCUUAACUGCUGCUCACUGACUAAGAUCCCAACAGAGAGGAGUGAGGAACGUACGUUCUGCCUGCCGCUCCACAGAACCGGAUCAGCUCGCACGGAGGGGUUCUACAGAAUCAGCAGGAAGGAUAAAAUUAAAUACCUCAACAGCACAAAGCUGAGUUCUGAUCUUCAGUCUCCAAGUUCUCAGGUGCUGAGGAGAAGAUGAGAAGAAGGAAAUUACCUCAAUGGGUGUUUUAUUUAUUUAUUUGUUUGUUUUUCUUUGAGCAGGGGGUGUCUGUCUUCAUCCAGCAGCCCACAUCUCUGAGAGCUGGAUCUGACUUCAGGUCGGAACAGCGCCGCCUGCUGUCCUCUUUCAGCUGUGACAGUGACCUGGUCAAGUUCAACCAGCUUAAG
ensembl:lncRNA